ensembl:lncRNA
CUCAGGUUGAGAGUGUACCUGCUGGCACUUCUGGCACCUGAACGUCCUGCUGUUAACCUCCGCAGCCUCUGAACCCCUUUUCUGGGGAGGUCGUACAGAUGGUUAGAAAUGUGUGCAGCUUUUGGAAGUGAAACAUGACUGGAAGCUCUCGUUUUCCUUCUGGAGGUGACCAAGCACGAACUGGAUACUCUACCCUGGGUGGCAGAACAGUAUCGACCUCAACACUUACGGAGGGGGCACUGGGCACUCCAAGUUCACAUUUUCCCCUCAUUCCACCCACUCCUUCCGCCUUCAGUAUCUGAUCCUGGACUUGCUGGAAUCUCGCUGAAGUUCUUAUUCCACUCAUCCAUUACAGAUAUGCUGCAAUAUCUGACGUGUUAGAGAUUUUUGAUUUAUUGGACUUCAUACCUGGAUCAACCACCUUCUUGCAUGUCUCCAAUGCUGGAGACCCUUGUGACUCAGUCCCUCUCGCUUUCUGUACUCUCUUUCUAGGUGACCUCAUCCAUGCUCAUGGCUUCAAUUACCAGCUAUGCAAAUCUUUCCAGAAUUCUAUUCUAACUGCCAACUUAACAUUUCCACUUUUCCAGGCUUCUUAAAUUAACAUGUCUUUUUACAAGGAUGGUUGUAGAUUUUUCUGCAGAGAAGUUGUAGUUCAUAGCCACACAAGAGUUCCAGCAACAUCCCUGGGUAGUCUUUGUCCUAAUGAAGAAUAACAGAAUCUUGGGGGAGAAAUUGUGGAUGGGAAUGCUACUGACGAUGGAUGCUCUGAUCACGGACAUGCCACCCCAGAGUUAAUUUUCUUCCUUUAAUCAAGCUGGGUUUUGGUGCCUGAGGAAAUACUAGAGUAUCUUGAGGCACCUCCCGUUCAAAAUCUCCACACUUCUGAUAUCUCUAGCAUAAUCCACAGAAAUGGCAAUAAAAGUGAGAGGAUAGACGCAUAAAGAGAAAAAAACUCUGGCCAGAGUUCCAGGUACCUUGUGUGGAAACAGCUGGGUAAGCAGUGAUUUUGAGGCAUUAGCACACCUCUUUUGGACAUCAGUGAGAGUUUUGAAAGCAUUCAUCUUCUGUACUCAAAGUGAAGCCAGAUAUAACAUUUGGUAAAGAGCAAGCGUCUAGUACAGUGUUGUGGAUGCAUUCCGCCUCUCCCAAAUUUCCACGUAUGAUCAAAUGUCUGCUCUACUGUUUCUUAACCAACAUCUCAAGGAAUCAGCAACAACUUUUCAACUUGUCUACUAUGAAUGAAAAGCAUCCCUUUGUUCUAAAAAAACCUUUCUUUCCAGAUAUGUGGCAUCACGGAAACAUAAAUUACAUACUCAAACGUCCUGAUCUGAUUCUAUGGAGAGAAUUGUAAUCAACACAUUCACAAGUCAUUGAACAGCAUGAUUUUUCAGAACAUAUCUUAGAGCUCGGAAUCCUCACCCAGAGUUCAGUUCUCAGGGUGCAUAUAUUUUUCUUUAGGAAGUCAUCUAGAAAGACAAAACUGCAGAUUUUCUCCGCGCUGCCUUGGGAAAGGCGCUGGCUGUUCUGGGGCAGAGAGAGCGAGGCAGGAAGGCAGGGAAGGCAGGGUGGCUGGCGCUGCGGAGUUUUAUUUGGAAAUGAAUUUCAGCCAAAUAACAAGACUGAGUGAUUUGAAGAUCAUUCUUUCCUUCAUCCUCCACUCAAAUUAAACAAACAACAUUUUUCUGUCCCUCCGUCUCCUGUAGGCUUUUUGUAUGCAGCAAAGUUGUGCACGGUGUCUUUGAUUUUAAAUAUUUCGCCAAAAAUAUGAAUGCGUUCAUUUUUUUUUUCUCUUCCACGAGUGAGAUGUUUCCAUAAGUCCUGGAAAACAGACAUAAAUUUGGGACACGAAGGCAGAUGAAGACGUGUUCUUCAUCCCUCUCUUCUCCUCCACUUCUUGAAAAGGACAGUCCCUCCCAUCAGAUCCUACCUGAGCCAGAUCCUACCCACCACAUGAUGCCUAACUGCAGUCGCGCCUUCCCCAGGAGGGAGCCUUUCUUCGUGAGUCCGGGACACUCCAGUGGCGGUGAGCGUGGAUAUCCACCACGUGUUUCCUGGGUGCCACGCCCAGGCCAGUCACAGCAUUUAAUGCUCACUGUAACCCACGAGGCAGUACCACAUCAUCUUUGCUUUUCAGAUGUGUAAACCGAAGCUCCAAGGUUCCAGAAGUUGCGCAUUGUGUCAAGGCCUUACAGAGCCAGAGUCUGAAGCCCGUGACAAGGGAGGUCAGCUCUUCCCUCUCUCCAGUGCCUCUGUCCACCACGGCAACCUCCUCAUUAUUUCUUUAAUGCUUACCCUUAUGCUUCCAAGUAGACCAUGAAGCCCUUGAAGACAGUUCUUGUCUUGGGCUUUCUUUGCAUCCAGGAUACUAUAUCACAAAAGGAUAUGUGCCUGAAUGUAUCAGAAAUGCCAACUGAUUGAGAUUAAAGGUCAAAGGGGGAUAUAUAAAACCAGAGACUCAAAAUAACAGGAAAGAAAACCUUAGGAUAAAGGUAAUUAUUCUACGUCAUGUUAGUUCUAGUUUUUAUUAACAGUUGUGAAAAUUGUGUUGCUUCUAAGCAAGUAUCAAAAUAAGAAAAGAAAAGAAAGGCCAGUAGCACACAUUACUUUCAUGAAUGUGUUGGGAUCAGUUUUCCUUAUGACCACACUGUAGUAGGAUAUGGGGGAACGGCUGUCCGGACACCUCAACGAAAGUAGUGCUGAAACAUAGCCUUGCCUCCACCCCGAGUCCUUGCCUUGGAUCCCACCCAAAGACGUGAAUGCCCCAACACCUGAGGAUGUGGCUGCUCUCUUUCCAGAGCCUACCUGUCCCAGUGAAGCCCUUCAGUCCCUACAGGUUCUGCCAGUCUGGACAAUCCCAGCGUGCUCCUCUCUCAGGAGGAGCAGCAUGGGCUUAAAGUUUUGUCUCGGUAAUGACAUAUUGACCUCAUAGUAGAAGAAAGACAUGUUCCAGUUUGUCACAUGGCGGUGGCUUUUGAUUUUUAAUUAUACAAUCAAAGUUAAUAGCAAAUCUUUGUAUUUGUG